GCUCAAGCCACGAGCCGAAGCUUAAGGUUUGCACUUUGUGCAAGCGGUAGCGGAGCGUUCCAUAAGCCAACGAAGGCGGACCCGUGAGGGCUGCUGGAGGUAUUGGAAGUGCGAAUGCUGACAUGAGUAACGACAAACAGUGUGAAAGACACUGUCGCCGAAAGUCCAAGGGUUCCUGCGUAAAGUUAAUCUCCGCAGGGUUAGCCGGCCCCUAAGGCGAGGCCGAAAGGCGUAGUCGAUGGGAAUGAGGUGAAUAUUCCUCAGCCAGCUGGUAGUGACGGAUCUCGUACGCUGUCGGACCUUAUUGGAUUGGUCCGGCUUCCAAGAGGUUCCAGGAAAUAGCUCCAGCAAUAGACCGUACCCUAAACCGACACAGGUGGACUGGUAGAGUAUACCAAGGCGCUUGAGAGAACUAUGCUGAAGGAACUCGGCAAUUUACCUCCGUAACUUCGGGAUAAGGAGGCCCAGUGUUCAGGCAACUGUUCAUUGGGGGCACAGACCAGGGGGUAGCGACUGUUUAACUAAAACACAGGGCUCUGCGAAAUCGCAAGAUGACGUAUAGGGUCUGACGCCUGCCCGGUGCCGGAAGGUUAAAAGGAGGUGUGCAAGCACCGAAUUGAAGCCCCGGUAAACGGCGGCCGUAACUAUAACGGUCCUAAGGUAGCGAAAUUCCUUGUCGGGUAAGUUCCGACCUGCACGAAUGGCGUAACGACUUCCCCGCUGUCUCCAGCAUAGACUCAGUGAAAUUGAAUUCCCCGUGAAGAUGCGGGGUUCCUGCGGUCAGACGGAAAGACCCCGUGCACCUUUACUGUAGCUUUGCGCUGGCAUUCGUGUCGGCAUGUGUAGGAUAGGUGGUAGACUUUGAAGCCGGGGCGCCAGCUCUGGUGGAGUCAUCCUUGAAAUACCACCCUUAUCGUCAUGGAUGUCUAACCGCGACCCGUCAUCCGGGUCCGAGACAGCGCAUGGCAGGCAGUUUGACUGGGGCGGUCGCCUCCCAAAGAGUAACGGAGGCGUGCGAAGGUGGGCUCAGAGCGGUCGGAAAUCGCUCGUUGAGUGCAAUGGCAUAAGCCUGCCUGACUGCGAGACUGACAAGUCGAGCAGAGUCGAAA
rnacentral:rRNA from 1 species